AUGGACCCCGCAGCGGCGCCGCCGCCGCCGCCGCUCGCGGUACACCUGGUCACCGGCGACGCGUCCUCGCCGGCGCUAUCCCACCUCCUCCAGUCCCUCGCGGCCGCCCGCAUAGUCGCCUUCGACGCCGAGUGGAAGCCACGCCGGCGUGUUCCUUCCGCCCCCAGCGACGACGCCUCGCCAGCCCCCCCUAAUCCGACGCAGUUGCCGACUGUUACGGUUCUCCAGAUGGCCUGCCGGGGAGAAGACGGGGGCAACGAGGUGUUCGUCGUCGACCUCCUCGCCGUGCCGCUCGCCGACCUGUGGGCGCCGCUGAGGGAGCUGUUUGAGCGGCCCGACGUGCUGAAGCUGGGGUUCCGGUUCAAGCAGGACCUCGUGUACCUCUCCGCCACCUUCACGGCUGCCCUCGGAUGCGACUCUGGAUUCAACAGGGUGGAGCCUUUCUUGGAUGUCACCAACGUUUAUCACUACCUCAAGGGGCAUGACAUGCAAAAGAAACUUCCAAAGGAGACCAAGAGUUUGGCUUCAAUAUGUGAGGAACUGCUUAAUGUCUCUUUAUCCAAGGAACUCCAAUGUAGCGAUUGGUCAUGCCGACCCUUGAGCGAAGGGCAAAUACAAUAUGCUGCAUCAGAUGCCUACUACUUGCUAUAUAUAUUUGAUUUGUUCCAUCAGAAGGUCAGCAUUGAAGAAAAAUGUUCACCAACGGCUGAAGCUUCAGAUGAACAUUGCUCACAAAGGGCAAGUGAUUGUUCAUCGUCAGGAAAUGACAUUUGCUUUGAUGGGUAUUCGACAUCCAUCAUCACGAAGUACAGCGACAGGAUUUUGUUGACAGAGUCAGAUACAAAAGCCCGUUCCUCAAGACGAAAAGAAAAGCAAAAGCUGUCGAGUGAUGCCAAGUGCAAAGAGAAGUUUGAUUACAAUACUGAAUGGAUGGGUCCCCCUCCAUGGGAUCCUUCCGUUGGUGGAGAUGGAUACCCAAAGUUUCUGUGUGAUGUGAUGAUUGAGGGUCUAGCUAAGCACUUGAGAUGUGUUGGAUUAGAUGCUGCCACUCCAUCUUGUAAAAAACCUCAACCAAGGGAAUUAUUAGAUCAAAUCUACAAGGAAGGAAGAAUAUUACUAACACGAGAUGCCAAACUCAUAAAGUAUCAGUAUUUGGCGACUAAUCAAGUAUACAGAGUGAAAAGCCUGCUCAAACAUGAUCAACUGGCUGAGGUGAUUGACACCUUCCAGUUAAAGAUCUCUGAGGACCGAUUAAUGUCAAGAUGUACAAAGUGCAACGGAAGUUUCAUUCAGAAACCAUUAACGCUCGAGGAAGCCAUAGAAGCCUCCAAAGGUUUUCAGGUCAUCCCCUCAUGCCUCUUCAACCGAAAUAUGGAGUUCUGGAAGUGCACUGACUGCAACCAACUCUACUGGGAGGGAACUCAGUACCACAACGCAGUUCAAAAAUUCAUGUCAGUCUGCAACAUUAGUGAGUGA
rnacentral:rRNA from 1 species